rnacentral:tRNA from 1 species
GCAUGCCUGGCUCAGUUGGUAGAGCGUGAGACUCCCGAUCUUGGGGUCGUGAGUCCAAGCCCCACAGUGGGCU